CCCGAAAAGAUGAAUCCGAGGGUGGAGAGCCCUCAGUCAGAUCACGAUUCUACUCCCGGAAGAUCUCUACCUUCAUUCUGCCAGAAAACCCUCGAGACUCAUAGUCGAGAGGAUUUCUUAGAUCGAAGGCUCUAGGAGAUGAACCGUCGGAUUGAAGAACUCCGCCACGCUCCCCCCGCUUAUGGUGAGGACAUUUGUACUGACCCUCCCU
rnacentral:lncRNA from 1 species